UUUCUUUUUUUUUUACCAUGCCAACAGUACACAUUAUUAUUAUUCAUGAAUGGUCAAAAGACUUACAAGGCCCAUUAUUAUUAGUAUAACCACAUGUAUGAAACAUCAGGGACAUGGAGUGAAAAGGACAGUUUUAUAUAUAUUUAAAAAUUACAGACACACACUUUCUCAAGUGUUGACCACACGCUGCUACAAAAGCAGGAGGCAUCAAGCGGCAGGAGCUCCAAUAAACAUAACAUGUGGAAAUAUCUCCAGCAUAAAAACUGUA